rnacentral:rRNA from 1 species
UACGUAGGGUGCAAGCGUUGUCCGGAAUUAUUGGGCGUAAAGAGCUUGUAGGCGGUUUGUCGCGUCUGCUGUGAAAUUUCGGGGCUCAACCCCGAACUUGCAGUGGGUACGGGCAGACUAGAGUGUGGUAGGGGAGACUGGAAUUCCUGGUGUAGCGGUGAAAUGCGCAGAUAUCAGGAGGAACACCGAUGGCGAAGGCAGGUCUCUGGGCCACUACUGACGCUGAGAAGCGAAAGCAUGGGGAGCGGACAGG